AUUGAGCGCUGGCGGCAGGCCUAACACAUGCAAGUCGAGCGGAUGAAGGGAGCUUGCUCCUGGAUUCAGCGGCGGACGGGUGAGUAAUGCCUAGGAAUCUGCCUGGUAGUGGGGGAUAACGUCCGGAAACGGGCGCUAAUACCGCAUACGUCCUGAGGGAGAAAGUGGGGGAUCUUCGGACCUCACGCUCUCAGAUGAGCCUAGGUCGGAUUAGCUAGUUGGUGGGGUAAAGGCCUACCAAGGCGACGAUCCGUAACUGGUCUGAGAGGAUGAUCAGUCACACUGGAACUGAGACACGGUCCAGACUCCUACGGGAGGCAGCAGUGGGGAAUAUUGGACAAUGGGCGAAAGCCUGAUCCAGCCAUGCCGCGUGUGUGAAGAAGGUCUUCGGAUUGUAAAGCACUUUAAGUUGGGAGGAAGGGCAGUAAGUUAAUACCUUGCUGUUUUGACGUUACCAACAGAAUAAGCACCGGCUAACUUCGUG
rnacentral:rRNA from 1 species